AUACGUAGGGAGCGAGCGUUGUCCGGAAUUACUGGGUGUAAAGGGAGCGUAGGCGGGAGUGCAAGUCAGAUGUGAAAUACAUGGGCUCAACCCAUGGGCUGCAUUUGAAACUGCAUUUCUUGAGUGAAGUAGAGGUAAGCGGAAUUCCUGGUGUAGCGGUGAAAUGCGUAGAUAUCAGGAGGAACACCGGUGGCGAAGGCGGCUUACUGGGCUUUUACUGACGCUGAGGCUCGAAAGCGUGGGGAGCAAACAGGAUUAGAUACCCUGGUAGUCCACGCUGUAAACGAUGAUUACUAGGUGUGGGGGGACUGACCCCUUCCGUGCCGCUGUUAACACAAUAAGUAAUCCACCUGGGGGGUACGGCCGCAAGGUUGAAACUCAAAUGAAUUGACGGGG
rnacentral:rRNA from 1 species